rnacentral:tRNA from 1 species
GGAGAGGUACCCCUAAUUUGGUAAGGGAGCUGACUGUAAAUCAGCCAGACAAAUGUCUACUAUAGGUUCGAGUCCUGUUCUCUUCA